UAGAAAAUACCCUUACUACUUGGAAAACCGGGGGAAAUUCUAAACCUAAUACAGGCUAAAAACCCCGACUUCGGGAGGGGGGGAUUUAUUAAAUAAAAAACCAAGGCCCUUCGGGGCUCCUUGGGGAACCAUAAUAACUUACCGAAUCCCAUGGCCUUGCCCCGGCAAGGGUUCAUUCAAUUUUCUGCCCUAUCAACUUUCAAUGGUAGGAUAUGGGCCUACCUGGGUGGCAACGGGUAACGGGAAAUUAGGGUUCAAUUCCGGAAAGGGACCCUGAAAAACGGCUACCACAUCCAAGGAAGGCAGCAGGCGCGCAAAUUACCCAAUCCCGACACGGGGAGGUAGUGACAAUAAAUACUGAUACGGGGCUCUUUUGGGUCUCGUAAUUGGAAUGAGUACAAUCUAAAUCCCUUAACGAGGAACAAUUGGAGGGCAAGUCUGGUGCCAGCAGCCGCGGUAAUUCCAGCUCCAAUAGCGUAUAUUAAAGUUGUUGCAGUUAAAAAGCUCGUAGUUGAACCUUGGGUCUGGCUGGCCGGUCCGCCUCACCGCGAGUACUGGUCCGGCUGGACCUUUCCUUCUGGGGAAUCCCAUGGCCUUCACUGGCUGUGGGUGGAACCAGGACUUUUACUGUGAAAAAAUUAGAGUGUUCAAAGCAGGCCUUUGCUCGAAUACAUUAGCAUGGAAUAAUAGAAUAGGACGUGCGGUUCUAUUUUGUUGGUUUCUAGGACCGCCGUAAUGAUUAACAGGGAUCAGUCGGGGGCGUCAGUAUUCAGCUGUCAGAGGUGAAAUUCUUGGAUUUGACCUGAAAGACUAACUACCUGCGAAAAGCAUUCUGCCAAGGAUGUUUUCAUUUAAUCAGGUGAACGAAAGUUAGGGGAUCGAAGACGAUCAGAUACCGUCGUAGU
rnacentral:rRNA from 1 species